CAGGGGAUCAAAUACUUUUUUCCCUCACUGUAUAACACACUGACAAAGAAGAGUAGAAUAACAUUUGAGUACCUGAGUGUUAAACAGUUGUUAUUUUCACUGUCUUGUAUUGUAGCUACAUGUCUUCUUCUCUGUUCUUCUGUUAUGUUUAAGUAGAAAUUGAAAUUUCAGCCACGGACUGACAACCAAUGACAAUUAACACUGAUAGUCAAUGGUUUGUGUGUAUGUGAGUGUGUGCGUGUUUAUGAUUGAUUUGAAUGCCUAUGUAAUGUAUGUGUUUUCAUCAGUCUGAAUUUCUCUUUCUCUCUGAAAGUAACAGCCAUGAUGAAACAGUUUCUGUUGAGUUCUUGCCUGGCCGUAGGCCUUUUCGGCACUUUGUUAGCUCAAACAGGUACAUAUUGCAUUACAGAUUUUGUCCUUAUUUAACCUACAACCUGAUCCUACUCCCCUCCUUUUUACCUAUUGGUCAAUAUGACUUCAAGUCUUACUGACAGACACGUCUGUACUUCUAGAGGCUUCUAGCCCUUUGGUAACCCUAAAGAGUGGCAGUGUUCGUGGGCAGUACAGGACAGUGAAGGGCACAGAAAAGGUAGUGGAGGAGUACCUGGGGAUUCCCUUUGCACACCCCCCUUGGGCUCGCUGAGUCUGACUGCCCCUUUGCCUGCUGAGCCCUGGGUGGGAGUGAGAGAUGGCACCAAACUACCCCUUACUCAGGUUAUGGUUUGGAUCCAUGGGGAGGCUUAGAUGUGGGUGGAACCUUCCAAUAUGAUGGAUCGGCCCUGGCGGCCUAUCAGAAUGGGGUUGUGGUUGUCAUUCAGUAUCGCCUUAGCAUCCUGGGUUUCUUAAGGUAUGACCGUGACAACAUUUCACCAGUGUUACUCUACAUUUGUUCCAAUUCGUAUUCAGUGCCUUAAACUCUAACUGAACUAUAGUAUGUUUUACAAUGGUGCCUUGAAUGUUCAUUUGAUGUGCCAGGUGUGCCAAAACAAUUGCAACCUUAGACAUUACAACACCAGAUGUAUUUUUUAUUUGCUUCAAGUACAGGAGACGAACAUGCAGGUGGUAACUGGGGCUUCUUGGACCAGAUUGCCAGCCUUCAGUGGGUUCGUGAUAAUAUCAAGGAUUUUGGGGGAGACCCAGACUCAGUCACCAUCUUUGGACAAUCUACCGGGGACAUUAGUGCCUCCAUGCUGGUAGGUAUGAGAAAGACAAUGUGACACAGCAGUGAGAUGGUCAGGUACAGAAGAAGAGGUGUGGUUGAAUUUAUACCUCACUGUGUAAACCAUCAAAACCAAAGAGAGUAGCACUGUUUGACCCAAUGGCUCUGUCUAUCGCCUGACAGGUGUUGUAUCUGUUAGCUGAGGGCCUGUUUCCUAGAGCCAUCCCUAUGAGUGGAGUGGCACCACUGGAGGCCCAUUACACCAACAACCCACUGGCCAACGCCAAGAUGAUAGCCACUCUGUCAGAGUGUGAUGACAGCACUACUGAGAAGAUUGUACAGUGCAUCAGAGGGACAUACUCACACCAUCAAAAAGGUUUAGGCAUUCUUGAGCCCUGCCAUUGAUGGUGUGUUCCUGAAAGGGCCUCCUGAAGAGGUUUUGAAGAACAAGGAGUUCCUGAAGGUUCCUAUGGUUGUAGGGGUGGUCAACCAUGAAUUUGGAUGGAUUAUGGCUCAGGCAAGCUCAUUGGCUAUUAUAUCUUGUUAUGAGAUUUUCUUUAAGACAACGUUCUUGUGGUCAUCAGAUCAACUAUUUACUGUACCUGUAUCUCCA